AUUGUUGUCGGUAUGGAUCACGUAUAAACAGUUAGUGCAGUGUAGAAAUACUACAAUUUGAUUACAUGUUGAUUAAUUGUAAAAGUGAUUGUCUGGUAUUGCGGAGAAUUAUUGAAUUGUCCCGGAACAUUAUUGGCGGUGAUUUUAAGUGUGUUGAAUAUAUUUUUCUCCCUCUGCAACAGGGAAGAUCAAGAUUUUUAAAUUGCAAGACAGAAGAUAGAAUUUCUAAGGCUAAAAUACUGUGGUGACAAAACUGUUGAUUCUGUUUUGGAGCUAUAAAAAAAUCUGAGGGUAGCCACACGUGUGCCACAGUUCCUGACAGGCCUUGACACACAACAGGACAAGAUUAAUUCCUCCCUGACAAAACCCAACUGCAUGCAAGAAAAAUUGGCUCAGUACAUCAUAAUUUUACUAUCUUGUCAGGUGCAUGUGUUCUAGCUAUUGGUUGUCAAAUUAGGCCAAGUUGUCUUCAAGAAUGAGGAAAAAAGAAAAUUGGAGAACUUCUUAAAUCUCAUUUCCAAAGACUUCCACACAGCAUCAGUUCUCUAUACCGUGGAAAAAAAACAUGGAGCGCAUCAUUGUUUCAUUUUUGACUUUCGCCUCCAUUAUGGCAAGUGUUUGGACCCAGCAAAAAGCCUUCUUUGUGACAUUUCAUCUGAAGGAAGAUCUUCCCAAUAACACAUUGAUAGGGAGUCUGGAGCAGGAGAUAGGCCUAUCAGCCAAGAUCAACGAUUCUCUCCCAAACCUCAAGUUCACAUUCAAGAAAAAAGAGGAGCCCAUUAUUUCACUAUUUCGCCUUUCAAAUUCUAGUCAACUUUUUACUAACCAAGUGAUAGAUCGAGAGAAAGUCUCAGCUUGUCAGUACAAACCACAGUGUGUAUUCAACUUUGAGAUUGUUGUGACGAGUUAGUCAUCCAGUUAUUUUGGUGAAAUCAAUGUUCAAGUCAAUGUUACUGAUGUUAAUGAUCACAGUCCAAAGUUCGAUCCUAAUUUUAUUCGGCUCAGUUUACCGGAAUCCACCACUGCUAACAAGAGUGUGUACAGAGUGGAACCGGCUCAAGAUUAUGACACAGGGGGCAAUAACUCGGUGCAAUCCUACGAGCUCAACCAGAUCACACCUUCAGGUUCAGCCUCUAUGGAUUUUAGAAUGGAAGAAAUUAGGUCCAUCUCUGAAGUUUCUCGUAACAUCUUGACCAAUGUGAACUUGGAUUAUGAACGUGAACAACUUUACGUGUAUCACAUUCUUGCCAGAGAUGGUGGAAAUCCUCAAAGAACAGGCACCUUUACACUGGAAGUAAACGUGGUAGAUGAAAACGACAAUUCUCCCGUUUUUGAUAAGUCACAGGCUGCUGUGACCAUCGAAGAAUACACUGCUGUAAACACCCCUUUCUAUAUUUUCCAUGCCAGUGAUAAAGAUUCUGGUAAAAAUGGCCAAAUUGAAUUUCGUUUCAAGAAGUUUCAGGAACAGUGGCAAGAAAUUGCUACUUUGUUUUCCAUCCAUAAUGAAACUGGUACAGUUAAAGUUAUUGGAAACCUUGAAAUACGAGCAUGGGAAAGUAUACCAUAUCAUUGUGGAAGCAACUGACAAGGGAGAUAUUCCCAGGUAUGCUACUGCUCAGCUGGAUGUCACAGUCAAAGAUUCCGGAAAUAAUGCUCCUAAAAUAAACAUCAACUUCCUUUCGACUGAUCAAGGAAACAACACUGUCAGCGUUUCAGAAGAUGCUUUCUUGGAGCAAGCCAUUGCCAUCGUCAUUGUGGAAGACUCCGACACUGGUCCAAAUGGAGAGGUGACUUGCAGAACCUUUAACACUUUCUUUGGUCUCCAAAGCUUGGAUGAUGGAUACAAGGUCAUCAUCCAGCAUUACUUGGAUAGAGAAACCCAAAGCUCUCAUCACAUCAAGAUCACAUGUGCUGACAAGGGCACACCAGUAUUGGAUAGCGUGUUAGAGUUUACAGUUAAUGUGUUGGAUGCCAACGAUAAUCCGCCAAAGUUUUCCCAGUUUUACUACAAUGCCAAAGUUAACGAAACCAACAACCGAGGGAAAGAGAUUAUUCAAGUACUUGCUACAGAUAAAGACAUUGGAAAAAUGGACAGAUUUCGUAUUUCAUUGAGCCACCAACAGACAACAGAUUCUCUAUUGGACCUGAGACAGGAAUUGUUACUGCUAAUGUGGACUUUGAUAGGGAGCAAUCAGUACAUAUAACAUUCACCGUCAGAGCCACAGACCAUGGAACACCACCACAGAACACCACAGCCAACAUUUGGUUGGAUAUUGAAGAUGUUAAUGACAAUCCUCCAAAUUUCUUGAAGGCCAACUUUGUCUUCUCUGUUGAUGAAAAUUUGCCCAAUGGAUCCUUUGUUGGAGCAGUCCAAGCAGUGGACAAGGAUGAGGGCAAAAAUGGAGAAUUUGAUUUCUCAAUUUCGGGGGAUUAUUCCAACAAAUCAGUCAUUCCUUUCACUGUUUCCCCUUCGGGUGAGAUCAAGACCUACGAGUCUUUGGACAGGGAAUUUCUGAACCGCUACGACUUUCAAGUCCUUGCUGUAGACAAAGGAGACCCUUCACUAACUGGAACUGCUCAUGUUACAAUCAACAUCAAUGAUAAAAAUGACAAUGCACCAAUAUUCAUCUUCCCAAGCACUGAUAACCACACCAUCAUCAUACCCAACACAACCCCCUUAGAGUCCAUCAUAGCUUCCAUACAGGCCUAUGAUUUGGAUGAAGAUACCAAUGGUUAUGGCAAUGGGAAGGUCAUGUUUUAUAUAGAUGGUGGCAAUGAAGGCGGAAUCUUUUAUCUGAACCACGAUACCGGAAGUCUCCACUUCAGGAAAGCAGUCAGUGUUGCCCAAGACUAUACCUUUCAUCUGAAAAUCCGGGCGCGUGAUAAUGGGCACGAGGCCCUAGAGGCCAAGCGAGAUCUGGACAUCAUCGUCAAGUACAUGAAUGCUACCGCUAGCUCUAUACCAGAUCCGAACGACUCGGACAAGAAUAUCCUGAUAGUGGUUAUUGUGGUGUGUGUGACCAUUGUCGUGUCUGUGGCUCUUAUUGCCCUCAUCUGUAUGCUGCGUCGUAAGAAUGAGGACAAGAUGAAAGACGAUGGACCCCCCUUCCUGGCCUCGGGAUCUCCAACCUCUGCCCUGUAUGACAGGCCCCCAGCAUACCCUUAUCAGAACGGGACCCCUGGGGACAAAUCCAGACCAAGAGUCAGCUUCUCCAAGGAAAACGACACGUUUACCAAGCAGCAGCUGAUGGAGAAAAUGACUGGACACCCAGAAUGGUAGAAAUGAGCAAGGAAAAUACACAGGCCACAACCAACAGAAUCCAAAGUCUCAUACAGAGGAGAGCCCCUAGUGAAAUAUCAGGGGAGACAAUUCCAUCCGACAGUGGACACGGGGGAUCAGAGGAAGAUUUCAACAGUCACAACCACAAUAACAAUAUGGAUAAAAGAAUACCUCUACAGCCCUCGUACUUGAAAAACGGUGUCUUCAUGAUGCAAGAACCAAUCAACAACCAUUCUAACACACUGCCGAAUGAGAGGCGCUUAAAUUCCUACAUCUUCCAACCUGCCAGUGUCCAAAUACAUUGAUGAUAGUUUAUUAACUUCGAGUAUCAAUUCUCUGUGGUCAGACAACCACACCGUUAAUAGACAAAACAGUUGCAAUGUGCAAAAAUUACCCACAAUUCCUGCAUGGACAGGUUAUCACCAAGGUGAUAGAAUGAACGACAGUUUGUUGUUUUAUUCCUAAAGACACAACGCUGGGGAGUCACAGUGCUCAUAGCCGUGACGAUGACGAGUGUACGACGACCAGCGGAAGCUACACCAUUAAUCCCGAUGAAAUCGACGACAGUUUCGAUAACAGACCCAGGGAUAUGUUUGUGUAGUUGUUAAAAACACUGCGAAAAUUGUUAGAAAAUGUGAGAUACUAAUAAUAAUGACUUUAUAACCAAAGAUUUUGUUAAUUGGAUGAACCAAAUAUAUUUUUUUUGUGAACAUUAAGUGCUAUCGACCAUAUGUGGACACUAACUGCAAGGAAAUGCUAACACAGGCAACGUGCACCCACUCCCAGGAUGCUCUGCUUGCACUGUGACUACUCGCCCAGAAAUUGACCAAUGAAAUUCCCCUUGCAACAGUUUCUUAUAUGCUUUGAUGAAAGCAUAGCAGAGCCUGAGGAGAUUUCUGCAUGGAUAAAGAAAACGAUAUCGGAAUUGGUAUCAGUGAAGAAAAAUAGGGCUGAGGAAAACCUGUUCACAUAUUAGCAUGCCAGUAUUAAAACUAAACCUUUGGAUGAUUGGAGGAGAAAAAAGCAUCAACGUGUGGUGUACAAUAAAUCUGUGUUCAUUAUAUCUAUAUAUGGUGGAGUGAGAAAAUAAUCCAACUAGAUACUAACUAGUAUAUAACAGAUCUCAGUUAAUUUUUGUAUCGCAAAUGUGUUUUUCUCUAUUGCAAUAUUUUAUAUCUCAGCAAUAAGUGUUGAUGAAUAUGAUUUGUUUUAUAUUGAGUUUGACUUUGUUUUAUCUCUUCUUGUUAAUGUUUGUCAUGAGAUGAACAAAGUUCAUGAAAUCCUGUUGUUUUGUGUUUUCUAUGAGGAAAACAGAUGCAUGUAAAUGUAUGCAUAAUUUUGUUAAUGGCAGCCUCGGAAUGUUACUGAUAAUAUGAUCAAAAUAUAACAAAAUAAAACUGAAUAAAAAUU
rnacentral:misc_RNA from 1 species